CGCUGCGCUCAGGCUCGAGCUCCGCGCACUCCCUCCGCGGCCGCUGAGCCGAGCGGACGCCCCUGGGGGCCGCGCCGCAGCCCUCCGUGCUCCGCCCUAUCAUGCCCGGUGCCCGGGCUGGGGCCGCCCAAGCAGCCAGGACACCAUGCCCGAGGACGGCGCUGGCGACGGCGGGGAGGUGCCCGCGCUCAUCCCGGACGGCGAGCCGCUGCGGGAAGAGCAACGGCCCCUGAAACAGUCCCUGGGAAGCUCCCUGUGCCGCGAGUCGCACUGGAAGUGCCUGCUCCUCACGCUGCUCAUCCACGCCUGCGGCGCCGUGGUGGCCUGGUGUCGCCUGGCCACAGUGCCUCGGCUGGUCCUGGGGCCCGAGGCUGCCUUGGCCCGGGGAGCCGGUGGCCCGCCACCCACCUAUCCGGCCAGCCCCUGCUCCGAUGGCUACCUGUACAUCCCGCUGGCCUUCGUCUCCCUGCUCUACCUCCUCUACCUGGCCGAGUGCUGGCACUGUCACGUGCGGUCCUGCCAGGCGCCACGCACCGACGCCCACACGGUGCUGGCGCUGAUCCGCCGGCUGCAGCAGGCGCCGCCGUGCGUCUGGUGGAAGGCCACCAGCUACCACUACGUGCGGCGCACCCGCCAGAUCACACGCUACCGCAACGGCGACGCCUACACCACCACGCAGGUGUACCAUGAGCGCGCCGACAGCCGCACGGCCCGCGGCGAGUUUGACUACUCGGCUCACGGCGUCCGCGACGUCUCCAAGGAGCUGGUGGGGCUGGCGGAGCACGCGGCCACGCGGCUGCGCUUCACCAAGUGCUUCAGCUUCGGCAGCGCAGAGGCCGAGGCCUCGUACCUCACGCAGCGGGCGCGCUUCUUCAGCGCCAACGAGGGCCUGGACGACUACCUGGAGGCGCGCGAGGGCAUGCACCUGAAGGACGUGGACUUCCGCGAGUCGCUCAUGGUCUUCGCCGACCCCCGCAGCCCGCCCUGGUACGCUCGCGCCUGGGUCUUCUGGCUUGUGUCGGCGGCCACGCUGUCGUGGCCCCUGCGCGUCGUGGCCGCCUAUGGAACGGCCCACGUGCACUACCAGGUGGAGAAGCUCUUCGGCGCCAGCUCGCCCCCGCCCGGGGCCGUACCCAGCGGGCCCCCGCUGUCCCGCGUGGCCACAGUGGACUUCACUGAGCUCGAGUGGCACAUCUGCUCCAACCGGCAGUUGGUGCCCAGCUACUCGGAGGCCGUGGUCAUGGGCGCGGGCUCGGGCGCCUACCUCAGAGGCUGCCAGCGCUGCCGUCGCUCCGUCAGCAGCAACUCGCUGCCCCCCGCCCGGCCCAGCGGGCCCCGUCUGCCCUUCAGCCGCAGCCGCCUCUCACUAGGCGCUGGGGGCCGGGCCACGCCAGGGGUCUUCCGCAGCCUGAGCGGGGGGCCCCUGGGGCGCCGUGGAGAGGACACAGAACCCCUCGAGAGCCCGCCCUGCUAUGAGGACGCCCUCUACUUCCCGGUGCUCAUUGUCCACGGAGACAGCGGCUGCCAGGGGGAUGGGCAGGGUGCGCUCUGAGACCCCCACAGCCCCCAGAGUAGCCCCCUCCCCACCAUUCCACCAUGGGCUUAGAUGCCCCGGUGAUCGUCGUCCAAAACAGGCGGGAAAACAGACCAGCCACACACAAGGGGCAGGGGUGAGGGUGGGGGUGGGGGUCCUCAAACAGACUAAAAUGCAGUGACCCGUGGUCAUUUUGGAGGAAACGGAGGCCACCUAAGUGGAGCCUAAGAAUCGCCCCCAGCAUGGCUUCACCCCCCAAGAUGGCCAAUGAUCUGGCCUGGAGGCCUCUCACAAAGGGCAGGAGAAGAAGCUUCCAGAAAGGCUGGGAUGGAGAAGGAGUCCUGUGGCCAGCUGUUGCCUGCAGCAGAGGCUGCCUGUGGACACUUCCCUGCCGGGGCUGAGGCCAUGCUGGGAGCUUCCCAGCGAUGCAGAAGCACAAAUUGGCGGGUUGGGGCCAUGCCCAGUCAGGUUGGCUUCCCUGGGGCUGAAGAGCUGGCUGUGGUGGCACCAUGGCCUUGGCCCUGCUACUCACCCAACAUUCCCAUCCUCCCCUGAUAGGCCCCUCCUUGCCUGCCCUUUCGCCCGCUGCUCAGGGCCAGUCACUGAUUGGACCUAGCAGUGCUGUUCCUCCACUGGGAGCCUGCUUCUUGGAGUACAGCCUUGCCCCAUGCACCUGUACUGUUUCGCCUGGUGUCCACCGCACCCUCCUCCCACAUUCAGCUACCCGUACAACCUGGGGUUCCUUCUCAGGGCCUCACCUGGUCCCCACAUCCCCUGGCCUCUGCUCCUGCCUCCCAAAGUCCAUGUCUGCCUCCAUCAGUCACACACACCCAGGGACGCCCUCUCCUUGCCCUCCGGGACUUAUCUACUCUUCACUUUCCUGAUGAUCCGUGGGGCCCAGACCUAGAGGGCAUCCGAGGGGCCCGGCCUCGCCCGCAGCCUCUUGGAUGAUGUCCUUGCUCCACCAUGCAGGCCCUUGCUUCUCCCAUCAAUGAGUCCUGGCCCAGGGGACACUGACCCUCCGCCAGGGAGGAGAGAGGAGUUCCUUCCCUUUCAACGAAGGCUUCCACACCCUCUCAAGCGUGGUGGGGCAGGGAGGAGGCUGAGAAGAUGCAGAUUAAAUAAAGCCUUCAUUCAGCCUGGGAUGCGUAUGUGAUAGCUGGAAUACCAGCAGCUAUCUUGGAGCAGGAAGUGACCUUGAAAAUUGUAGCCACGUGCUGAAGAUAGCAGAGCAACAAGGUAAAAGAUCCUGGGCUUCUGAUGACACCAUGCAAGUUUCCAUGUCAUCCCUUGGGUUGCCUACCUCUAGACUUCAAUGAGAAAGAGAAAUAAACUGUAAGUCUGCUUAA